rnacentral:rRNA from 1 species
AGUGAACGCUGGCGGCAUGCCUAAUACAUGCAAGUCGAAGGAAGUGGCGCACGGGUGUGUGAUAUAUAGCUAAUAUGCCCCUUGCUGGAGGGCAACAGUUAGAAAUGACUGCUAAUACUCCAUAGCAAGGGAUGAGACGAUAUAGUAUCAGCUAGUCGGUGGGGUAACGGCCUACCGAGGCUAUGACGCGUAACUGGUCUGAGAGGAUGCUCAGUCACAUUGGAAGUGAGACACGGUCCGAGCUCCUACGGGAGGGAGCAGUAGGGAAUAUCGGGCAAGGGGGGAAAAUCUGACGCAGCAACGGGGCGUGGAGGACGACACUUUGCGGAGCGUAAACUCCUUUUGUUAGGGAAGCGGUACCUAACGAAUAAGCACCGGCUAACUCCGUGCCAGCAGCCGCGGUAAUUC